rnacentral:rRNA from 1 species
GUCUAUGGCCAUACCUCCCUAAACGUGCCUAAUCUUAUCUGGUCUCAGAAGCUAAGCAGGGUUGACCUGAUUAGCACUUGGAUGGGAGACAAAUCUUCAAAAGAGAUGCUCAGACA